UCAAGAAACUUCCACAAUGGGCGAAAGCCUGAUGGAGCGACGUCGCGUGAUGGACGAAGUGCUUCGGCACGUAAACAUCUUUUUAUGUGGGAUGAAAUUAUUGACAGUACCACAUGAAUAAGGGGCUCCUAACUCUGUGCCAGCAGGAGCGGUAAUACAGAGGCCCCAAGCGUUAUCCGGAAUCACUGGGCGUAAAGGGUGUCGAGGCGGUUGUAUUAGUCGUUCGUAAAAUCUACGAGCUUAACUUGUAGGCGGCGAACGAAACGGUACGACUUGAGGUUUGGAGAGGUGCGUGGAACUCACGGUGUAGGGGUGAAAUCCGUUGAUAUCGUGGGGAACACCAAAGGCGAAGGCAGCGCACUGGCCAAAAUCUGACGCUCACACACGAAAGCUAGGGUAGCGAAGAGGAUUAGAUACCCUAGUAGUCCCUGAG
rnacentral:rRNA from 1 species